CAAAUGAAUGGACACUUCUAUUUUUCUAUGUUUCAGCAAGAAAGUGGUGACAGGAAUGCUAAAACCUUGUGUGAAAGGCUACCAGAUCCAAAUUUAUUACCAUCAAGAUAAUGAAGAAAGAAGGAACCAUCACACAAGCCAUCCUGACUGUGGUUCAGCCCAUCUCUGGGAGAAGAGUGGAUGCACACUGGGCACCAUCUGCAUGGGAAGAAGAGCCAAGCAGAAGACACUAGCUAAGCAAACUAUCAGAACCAGAAAGAUGCCCAUGGAUGUUGCCUAAAUCUUCACCGUAAUAAUGAAAAUAAACAGG